ACUGCUGUUACUGCUUCUCUGCCAAAACUUGCCUUGAUUUAAUAGUUGGCUCACCUGUGUAUUUUAAACCCGUUGCUUUGGCUCGGAUAGCUUCUGAUUGGUUGUUGGAUAAUUGACUCAUUGAAAAGCACCUCUGGCAUUUAUAAGAAUUUUAUUAGAGCCACUUUGAACGUUUGUAUUAUCGUUGGAGAGGAAGCGUUUUUGGAUUAGAAAUCAACUCUUAAUGUUCUACAUGCAGCUGAGGCAGAAGCUGUUCUCCUUUCUCAUGCAGACCUUUGCUAAGACCAGCAGAAGAUGAGAUGGUGCUCAUUAACCCACAUGGCUUCUUCAGGGGGCUCAAACCCAGAGUCUCUGGUUCCCCAUUAGCCUUAACCAUCCACCGUCUUUAAUAGGGCUUUGUCCAUGCGCUAGAGUUGGUUUUCACAAGUUAUUUGUUACUUUCAUGAGUUAAUUUGUCCUUACAAUUUGUAGACGACCUUUUUGUGGUCGUUUCAUAAGAAGAAAUUCUCAACUUCCAAUGAUUGUCUUUACAAGUGUAAGAUUGUUUAAAUGUUCUUUUAAACGCUGUUCUGUUGUGUUGCAGCACUGAACCUGAUGGCUGCUGGGUUUAAUUGUAAUAUAGUGCUGGGAUUAGAUCCAAUAUAUUGCUGGGUUUAGCUCUGAUAUUAUAAUGCCGGGUUUCAAUGUUAUUUUAUAGUGUUGGUUUUAGAUAUUAUAUUAUAGCGCUGGGUUUAGAUGUUAAAUAUAAUGCUGGGUUUAGAUGAUAUAUAUAUAUAGCGGUGUGUUUAGAUGUUAUAUUAUAGCGCUAUGGUUUAUAUAUAAUAUAAUAGUGCUGGGUUUAGAAGUUAUAUUAUAGUGCUGGAUAUAUAUAUAUAGUUCUGGGUUUAGAUGUCUAUGGAAAGCACUGGAACAUUUGAGACCCAAAUGGUUUGCAUGUUGGCGCUACUUGACAUUGCUACAGGUGAUAUUUCCUACUGUUUUAAACUGAAUAAAAUGAAGUUUCUCCA